rnacentral:rRNA from 1 species
CCUACGGGAGGCAGCAGUAGGGAAUCUUCCGCAAUGGACGAAAGUCUGACGGAGCAACGCCGCGUGAGCGGAGAAGGUCUUCGGAUUGUAAAGCUCUGUUGUUAGGGAAGAACAAGUACCGUUCGAAGAGGGCGGUACCGUGACGGUACCUAACGAGAAAGCCACGGCUAACUACGUGCCAGCAGCCGCGGUAAUACGUAGGUGGCAAGCGUUGUCCGGAAUUAUUGGGCGUAAAGCGCGCGCAGGCGGUUCCUUAAGUCUGAUGUGAAAGCCCACGGCUCAACCGUGGAGGGUCAUUGGAAACUGGGGGACUUGAGUGCAGAAGAGGAGAGCGGAAUUCCACGUGUAGCGGUGAAAUGCGUAGAGAUGUGGAGGAACACCAGUGGCGAAGGCGGCUCUCUGGUCUGUAACUGACGCUGAGGCGCGAAAGCGUGGGGAGCAAACAGGAUUAGAUACCCUGGUAGUCACGCCGUAAACGAUGAGUGCUAAGUGUUAGAGGGUAUCCACCCUUUAGUGCUGUAGCUAACGCAUUAAGCACUCCGCCUGGGGAGUACGCCUCGCAAGAGUGAAACUCAAAGGAAUUGACGG